rnacentral:rRNA from 1 species
CCUACGGGAGGCAGCAGUGAGGAAUAUUGGUCAAUGGCCGCGAGUCUGAACCAGCCAAGUCGCGUGAGGGAAGACGGCCCUACGGGUUGUAAACCUCUUUUGUCCGGGAGCAAGGUGCAGUUCGCGACCCUCUGUGAGAGUACCUUACGAAAAAGCAUCGGCUAACUCCGUGCCAGCAGCCGCGGUAAUACGGAGGAUGCGAGCGUUAUCCGGAUUUAUUGGGUUUAAAGGGUGCGCAGGCGGAGGCACAAGUCAGCGGUAAAAUCGCGGGGCUCAACCCCGCUCCGCCGUUGAAACUGUGUCCCUUGAGUGCGCGAAGGGUAGGCGGAAUGCGUGGUGUAGCGGUGAAAUGCAUAGAGAUCACGCAGAACUCCGAUCGCGAAGGCAGCCUACCGGGGCGCAACUGACGCUCAUGCACGAAAGCGUGGGUAGCGAACAGGAUUAGAUACCCGAGUAGUC